rnacentral:rRNA from 1 species
UACGUAGGGGGCAAGCGUUGUCCGGAAUCAUUGGGCGUAAAGAGCGCGUAGGCGGCCCUGUAAGUCCGCUGUGAAAGUCGGGGGCUCAACCCUCGAAUGCCGGUGGAUACUGUUGGGCUAGAGUGCGGGAGAGGCGAGUGGAACUGCGAGUGUAGAGGUGAAAUUCGUAGAUAUUCGCAAGAACACCAGUGGCGAAGGCGGCUCACUGGCCCGGUACUGACGCUGAGGUGCGAAAGCGUGGGGAGCAAACAGG